rnacentral:lncRNA from 1 species
CCGAAACUUACCGGCGGCGGUGCUCUCGGGUACGGUGGCUCCUCCGGCGUAAGUCGCGUUUUGAUGUUUGGCUCCGAUCAACCUGUAGAGAAAAGAACGGUGAUCACAGUGGUAUAAAAUUUGCAUCGAACGGAGGCCGGGAAGGGCCUCAUCGGAGGCAAAAAUAGAGGGGGGACGCGACGCCGCCGCUGGGCUUCGGCUAGGUUUUUCGGUCAUUUGGCCGGUGGUUUGGCUCUGGUUUGGCCAUAGGUAGACUCAGCAUCAAAAAAUGAGCCAGGGGGAGAAAAUUUACCUCGAUCGGCGGUCGGAAACUUCCCCGGUGCGAUGGCGGGUGGCGGCGGCCGGCUCCUCCAAUGUCUGAUUCUUCUUCUCCAGCGAGGAACUGGCGGCUAGGGUUUUAUGGUCAGGUGUGGGUGGGGUUAUUUAUACCCAUUGCCUUUUAAUCUCAACCGUCCAUCAAGAUUAAAUCUGGACCGUCCGAUUGCGAUUUAAUUGGGAUUAAAUCUGGACCGUCCAUCGUGAUGCAAUCUAGACCGUCUG